rnacentral:lncRNA from 1 species
GCAGAACAGUGACCUGGGUGGAUCUUGAGUGCAGGUAUAGCUGGGUUCACAGGCUUUGGGGUAAAUCGCCACCUUCGGUCUGACACCGCUCCUAAAGCAGAGGUGUCCGUGGGCCUCACCGUGGACAGAAUGCAUGUGUCAUGUGCACACAUGGGCAAGUGAGGUAAGUGGGUGCCCCAUGCCUGGCUCUGACCCAGCCCCUCUCCUGUGUUUCCUUCGCUCUGCCGCCUUCCCCCCCAGGUGCUGAACACUGGCUCUUCCUCAUGCCCUGGAGCAGUCUCACAUCCUACCCGGUGUUUAUUCAGCAAGAGUCAGCCAUUUUUCAACUUAAUAGCCCUCAGAAGCACAGGCCUGUAGGUGUGGGCGAAGUAUGAGAAGUCAGCAGGACGGUUGGGCCGGCAGGGCCGAGGGGAAAAUGCUAUUGGUGACGAGAGCGCAAGCAUAUGAGGUCCCCCACCAAACAUGCCCCUUUUUUGUUAAAUCACAUCAAAAGCCUCAACUCUGGCUCAAAAAUAUGGAAACGUGAGCACUGAUGAAGUGACAAUUUAAUAGGUCUUUCUAAGACUUCCAGCAAAUGACUGAAGAUGGGAGGCGCCUGCUGGUCACUCAAUGUAUGGAUGUCUAGGUGGCCAGGGCUCCCAGCCCAUCCUCAGCAGUACAGCAAGAGCGACUCAGAGGAGGCCUUGCACAGGGAAGAGUGGCCCAUUCACUGCUACAAGCAGGAGGAAUGGCACCUUGUAGAGGGACUCCCGUGGAAGCCUCGCAUUCCAAACAGGAAGCACUGACUGAGCUGAAAUGAGGACUUCUCCCAUGUCACUUACACUUCUGAUUUGGGCUUACAGCAGUAUUGAGAUGUAACAGGGAAGCACUCUAGAAAAUCUGAUAACAGAACAUGCUGUGUGUCGGUCACCUGUGGUCUCAGUACUGAUUCCUGAAUUUAGGUGGACUUAGGAACAGUGCCCUGUGAGCAGGCAAGCCGUCACCACAGGAGGCCUGUCACAGCCAGGUGCUGCAACCAGGGCAGGGGACUCCUCCUGGGACACACCCCCCACCACCACCUUUUAUGAGCACCUCUCCUGCUUGGGGUCCAUGACUCUCAAGAGCCCCAUGUAAAGUGACUGCUUCAGGGAGAUGUGACGGGAAGGCAGCAGCAGCAGGAAUGAGAGGGAAUUCUUGACAUUUAGACCGCUGCCCUCACAGCCCCAGCAGCUUCCAUUCUGUCCCUUCAGAGCUGGAUGGUGCCAUGCUGACACCAGCCCUGCCCUGCCCUGCCCAUCCACUAGAGGGACCUGUGGAGCCCCUGGUGGGACAUGAAGGAAAUGCCGUAGGUCACUCCCAGGCCCGAUCUCAUUCAGAAAAACAAAAACUUUUCAUGUUUGCUCCCGCCCUACUCCUCUCCUACUGCCCACUUGGACCGUGACUGGCACCCUCCACACCCCUGCCAGUCAUUCCAGUGACCCCCAGGGAAAGUGUGCUUUCUCUCCACUGGGCCCUCAUGUGCUGUCCCCUCUUCCCAGGGGCCCCUUUGACAACCUCUGUUUCCUGGUCUCUGGGACUCCCUGUUUAACAAAACCAGGGCAACAGGCCUGCCCAUGAGGCCACGCUCCUCCAGGGCAUCAGCACUGAUGGGCUGACCACAGGGACCUCCACCGCUGGGCCUGAUUGGCCUCCGCACUGUGGGCCCAGCUGGGCGCUGACCACAGAGCAAGCCCAGUGAAAUCAGUUCCUCAGGUGAAAA